rnacentral:rRNA from 1 species
GAUGAACGCUGGCGGCGUGCCUAAUACAUGCAAGUCGAGCGAACAGACGAGGAGCUUGCUCCUCUGACGUUAGCGGCGGACGGGUGAGUAACACGUGGAUAACCUACCUAUAAGACUGGGAUAACUUCGGGAAACCGGAGCUAAUACCGGAUAAUAUAUUGAACCGCAUGGUUCAAUAGGGAAAGACGGUUUGGCUGUCGCUUAUAGAUGGAUCCGCGCCGCAUCAGCUAGUUGGUAAGGUAACGGCUUACCAAGGCAACGAUGGGUAGCCGGCCUGAGAGGGUGGGCGGCCACAGUGGGACUGAGACACGGCCCAGACUCCUACGGGAGGCAGCGGUGGGGAAUAUUGCACAAUGGUCUGAAGCCUGAUGCAGCGACGCCGCGGGGUGGAUGACGGCCUACGGGUUGUAAACGCAUUUCACCAUCGACGAAGGGUUUCUGACGGUAGAUAGAGAAGAAGCGCCGGCUAACUACGUG